rnacentral:rRNA from 1 species
UUAAAUUGAAGAGUUUGAUCAUGGCUCAGAUUGAACGCUGGCGGCAGGCCUAACACAUGCAAGUCGAACGGUAACAGGAAGCAGCUUGCUGCUUUGCUGACGAGUGGCGGACGGGUGAGUAAUGUCUGGGAAACUGCCUGAUGGAGGGGGAUAACUACUGGAAACGGUAGCUAAUACCGCAUAACGUCGCA